UCUCAUGAAUCGCUGAAUUCCCUUGCUAGGCAAGGGAAACGGGGGAACCAAACAAGGAGAUGCGCCAGGUGGUGUGAGAGCCGCCAUUGAACAUCUCCAGGGGUGAAUCCUGAUCCGAAGACUCCAUGAAAUUCGGAUCAGGUAGGGCGACUCUCACCGCCCGAAUCCGACAGCUAACCUCGUAAGCGUUGAGUUAAGCAGUC
rnacentral:sRNA from 2 species